rnacentral:rRNA from 1 species
UACAGAGGGUGCAAGCGUUAAUCGGAAUUACUGGGCGUAAAGGGUGCGUAGGUGGUUUAAUAAAUUGGGUGUGAAAGUCCUGGGCUCAACCUGGGGACUGCGCUCAAUACUGCUAAGCUAGAGUACUGUAGAGGAAGGUGGAAUUUCCAGUGUAGCGGUGAAAUGCGUAGAUAUUGGAAGGAACAUCAGUGGCGAAGGCGACUUUCUGGACAGAUACUGACACUGAGGCACGAAAGCGUGGGGAGCAAACAGG